rnacentral:rRNA from 1 species
GACGAACGCUGGCGGCGCGCCUAACACAUGCAAGUCGAACGGAGCUGAGAGGAGCUUGCUUUUCUUAGCUUAGUGGCGAACGGGUGAGUAACGCGUGAGUAACCUGCCCUGGAGUGGGGGACAACAGUUGGAAACGACUGCUAAUACCGCAUAAGCCCACGGUGCCGCAUGGCACUGCGGGAAAAGGAUUUAUUCGCUUCAGGAUGGACUCGCGUCCAAUUAGCUAGUUGGUGAGGUAACGGCCCACCAAGGCGACGAUUGGUAGCCGGACUGAGAGGUGGAACGGCCACAUUGGGAACGAGACACGGGCAGGACUCCUACCGGAGGCAGCAGUGGGGGAUAAUGCACAAUGGGGGAAACCCUGAUGCAGCGACGCCGCGUGGAGGAAGAAGGUUUUCGGAUUGUAAACUCCUGUCGUUAGGGACGAUAAUGACGGUACCUAACAAAAAAGCACCGGCUAACUACGUGCCAGCCGCCGCAGUAA